rnacentral:rRNA from 1 species
GACGAACGCUGGCGGCGUGCUUAACACAUGCAAGUCGAACGGAAAGGCCCUGCUGGUGUGGGGUGCUCGAGUGGCGAACGGGUGAGUAACACGUGAGUAACCUGCCCUGGACGUUGGGAUAACGUCAGGAAACUGGGGCUAAUACCGGAUAGGAGCUCCUGCUGCAGGGUGGGGGUGGGAAAGUUUCGGCGGUUGGGGAUGGACUCGCGGCUGAUCAGCUUGUUGGUGGGGUAGUGGCUGACCAAGGCUUUGACGGGUAGCCGGCCUGGGAGGGUGACCGGCCACAUUGGGCCUGAGGUACGGCCCAGACUCCUACGGGAGACAGCAGUGGCGAAUAUUGCACAGUGGGCGGAAGCCUGAUGCAGCAACGCCGCGUGCGGGAUGACGGCCUUCGGGUUGUAAACCGCUUUCGCCUGUGACGAAGCGUGAGUGACGGUAAUGGGUAAAGAAGCACCGGCUAACUACGUG